GCCUUCGUAGUGCAGUAGUCAGCACACUCGACUCGAAUUCGAGAGGUCCUUGGUUCGAGUCCCGGUGAAGACA